UACGUAGGUGGCAAGCGUUGUCCGGAUUUAUUGGGCUUAAAGGGUGCGUAGGCGGCUUGUUAAGUCAGGAGUGAAAGUUUGCGGCUCAACCGUAAAAUUGCUUUUGAUACUGGCAGGCUAGAAUUAGGAUGAGGUUAGCGGAAUGUGGCAUGUAGCGGUGAAAUGCAUAGAUAUGCCAUAGAACACCAAUUGCGAAGGCAGCUGGCUAGACCUAUAUUGACGCUGAGGCACGAAAGCGUGGGGAGCGAACAGG
rnacentral:rRNA from 1 species